UACGUAGGGGGCAAGCGUUGUCCGGAUUCAUUGGGCGUAAAGCGCACGUAGGCGGCUUUGUAAGUUAGAGGUGAAAGCCCGGAGCUCAACUCCGGAAUUGCCUUUAAGACUGCAUCGCUCGAAUCAUGGAGAGGUGAGUGGAAUUCCGAGUGUAGAGGUGAAAUUCGUAGAUAUUCGGAAGAACACCAGUGGCGAAGGCGACUCACUGGACAUGUAUUGACGCUGAGGUGCGAAAGCGUGGGGAGCAAACAGG
rnacentral:rRNA from 1 species